AACGUAGGAGCCUAGCGUUAUCCGAAUUUACUGGGCGUAAAGCGCGUGCAGGCGGCUUUGUAAGUUGGCUGUGAAAUCUCCCGGCUCAACUGGGAGGGGACGGUCAAGACUGCAAGGCUGGAGGCAGGUAGAGGGAGGUGGAAUUCCCGGUGUAGUGGUGAAAUGCGUAGAGAUCGGGAGGAACACCAGUGGCGAAAGCGGCCUCCUGGACCUGUCCUGACGCUGAGAUGCGAAAGCUAGGGGAGCAAACGGGAUUAGAAACCCCGGUAGUCCUAGCUGUAAACGAUGUCGACUAGGCGGCGGUGGGGUAAAAGCCAUCGGUGCCGCAGCUAACGCGAUAAGUCGACCGCCUGGGGACUACGGCCGCAAGGUUAAA
rnacentral:rRNA from 1 species